CGGGGGAGGCCGGAUCCUGGGCUGUGUCCCGGCGCCCUGAGCUCCGGGGCCUGCGCUGUUGGAUUCGCGCUUCCGCCCCGCAGCCCCCU
rnacentral:pre_miRNA from 1 species